rnacentral:rRNA from 1 species
CGGUAAUUCCAGCUCCAAUAGCGUAUACUAAAGUCGUUGCAGUUAAAAAGCUCGUAGUUGGAUUUCUGCGGGGACGGAGCGGCCGGACGCAACUUGCGUCUCGAGCUAGCGCUUUCCCCGCAUCCUGCCGCGAACCGUGCUACCAUUAGCUUGGUGGCGCUGGGGAUCGGCUCGAUUACUUUGAGAAAAAUAGAGUGUUCAAAGCAGGCCACACGCCUUGAAUAAGUUAGCAUGGAAUAAUGACUAAGGACUUCGGUUCUAUUUUGUUGGUGUUCGGGACUGAAGUAAUGAUUGAUAGGGACAGUUGGGGCGGCCUGUAUUCCAAAGCGAGAGGUGAAAUUCUUAGACCUUCGGAAGACAAACAGCUGCGAAAGCGUUCCGCAAGGAUGUUCCCUUUGAUCAAGAACGAAAGUUGGGGGAUCGAAGACGAUCAGAUACCGUCGUAGUCUCAACUAUAAACUAUACCAGCUAGGGAUCGGUCAACGUUUAAUCAUUCGACUUGAUCGGCACCUUAUGAGAAAUCAAAGCAUCUGGGUUCCGGGGGGAGUAUGGUCGCAAGGCUGAAACUUAAAGGAAUUGACGGAAGGGCACCACCAGCCGUGGAGCCUGUGGCUUAAUUUGACUCAACACGGGAAAACUUACCAGGUCCAGACAUAGUAAGGAUUGACAGAUUGAUGGCUCUUUCUUGAUUCUGUGGGUGGUGGUGCAUGGCCGUUCUUAGUUGGUGGAGUGAUUUGUCUGGUUAAUUCCGUUAACGAACGAGACCCCAGCCUGCUAAAUAGCGCGGCUGAGCUUUGCUCGGUGCGAGCUUCUUAGAGGGACUAUGAUGCGCGAUAGCACAUGGAAGUUUGGGGCAAUAACAGGUCUGUGAUGCCCUUAGAUGUUCUGGGCCGCACACGGGCUACACUGGCGCCUGCAACGAGCAUAUCAGCUGGCCCGAGAGGGUCUUGGCUAAUCUUUUGAACCGGCGCCGUGCUUGGGAUUGACCAUUGCAAUUGUUGGUCAUGCAACGAGGAAUGCCUUGUAAACGCGAGUCAUCAGCUCGCAUUGAAUACGUCCCUGCCCUUUGUACACACCGCCCGUCGCUCCUACCGAUGAAUGUUCCGAUGAAAUUUUCGGAGAGCGCCAGAGAACGGGGCUCCGCCUUGCAGAUCUGGAGGCUCAAAGUCACUUAAAUCUGAACAUUUCGAGGAAGGAGAAGUCGUAACAAGGUAGCCG